CCUCUGCUCCCUGCAUCCAUCCGUCCGUUGUGCGCCCGCUCAGACACAAGUGUGGAAGGGGGCACGAGCGCGCUGGCGCGAGCAUGGAGGAUACUGGAGCGAGCAUGCCUCUUAACGUUUGGUGAAUAUGGCGGCGUCCAGAGUCCGUUACAGAGAAAUAGAUGCUGUCUGUAGCUGACACUGAGUGCUAAAAUGGCUGGUGAUGAGACUGCCUUCUUGUAGCGAUCUUAGGGACCAUUAAAGCACACACUUCCUUUGAGAUGAAAUCUAUGUGGCCGAUCCCCUCAUGCUGCUCCUGUCACCUGGAUUCCAUUUCUUCACGUGCAUUCUGAAGUGCACCGCAACCAGGAUGCUUGAACACGGAAAAAAAAUCUGAUUUCCUCCAGGGACAGAAAUGAUUGCUUUGAGUUUAUGCUAAGGCUGGACAGAAGGGGUGGCCAAGAAGAGUAUGGAGCAGAGAGGGUUUUCUAUGUCCUGAAGGAUCCAUGGCCACAUUUCCCCCACAUGAAAUGCACUGCACAGAAUUGCUGAUACCUGCUGCAUCUGGCUACUGUGAUAGUUUAGAAGACACUGUAGUUGAACACCAAGCACUCUCAUGUUGGUGUUGCAGGGAUAUGGGCGUGGCCCCAGAAACCAUGCAAGAAGAAGCACUGACUAAUGCCAAGGAGUAAUACCCUGCCUGAGGCCCUAGGUUCCCUGUGGAGCCCUCGUCCUCAGUGAUGGACCAGCUGCACUUCUGAAAAGUGAUGGUGUAUGCUCAUUCCUGUUGGUUUCCAUGCAGAGGUGACUGGUGGCACCAACUCUCCCCUUUUCUCCAGUGUCCUACUAUUGCAGCGCCCCGUUCUUGCUCACUGUGUGGCAGGCUUCCUGCUUUUGUCUGGUCCCUGGAUGUCUGUGAACUAAAGGAACGGACCCUGGGUUCCUGGCAAAUGAGGCUUGCAGGGUGAAGGCGCCAUUUACCUUAGUGCAAAUGUGGAGAACUGAGGUCUUCUCCCAGUCAUUCUGUGAGGCAUGGUGUCCCCUCUCUCUCCUCACAGUAGGUGACACUUUCUCUCACAGUUACCCAUCCUACAGUGCCCCUCUCUGCUUCCCACACCCUCAUGAGGAAUGGCGGCACUUGGGCCAUAGAGCGUAUUAACCUGUGUAGCGACUUUUUACAAUGCAAACAAGAGGUACCAAUUUGUUCGGCAGACCUGUGUGUGGACAGGUAUGUGUUAGGCACGGUGGGAUCCUAGGCUCACUGCAGUAACAAAGACACUGUCCUGUCAACAGGCAGAGCUCUAGUGGACGGGAGCAUAAAAGAGUGAGGCUACUGCCUGGCUAAGCAUGCAUGAGGCCCAGGUCAGUCUCAGCGCCUGUGAACACACAUAUACACACAUGCUUGCACAUACAUGUGCACCCGGGGAGAGAUAAGAAAGUAUGUGUGGGUAAAGUCUGUGAGUUUGAAGGCAAGAGCAAGGGAGCCCAUUUGGAGGAGGGAGCUUCUGUGUUCCUGGAGGAGUUCCUGGAUGACCUGACAAGUCACCUCAAUUUGGAGCAGGGCUGGGCUCAGCUCCUGCUGUGGGGACUGUGUUCAUGUCUCAUGGUGUCUUUGGAGGCAAGAAAGUGCAAGAGGAAAGUGUGAAGUGUGCAUAAGUGUGUGCCGGGGGCGGGGAUGAGGAGGUGCACCCUCCUGACAUGUAAGCCCAAGGAUGAUGGCUGGGAUGUGUGGGACGAUUAGUUUGUUGCCUUGCUAUUUGAGAUUUGAUUAAAGACAUGCUGCUCCUGU